GGGGUAGUAAAGGUUUCGACAGGGGUCUUGCAGCUGGAGAAGCUAUCCGCAUGCGAUGCGUUAAAUGGCAAAAUUAAAUUAAACGCUGAAGAUAAUUUAGCAUACGCAGCCUAAAGGCUGCUGUCCGCUCUAAGGCACUCACACUUUAGAAUCCGGGCAUCAACGAUGUGAGAAACGACAUGUGACGGGCUUCGGGCACAUGGGCGUAUAAGGAGCUACCGAAUCCGGUCGGCUGUUCGUUUCCAGCCGGAGGAGGGAACAGGAGGGAGCAAGUCCCUCCACAAUAACGGACUAUGAUAGUAGAAGUACAGGGAAUGGGCUUUUGGACACGGGUUCGACUCCCGUCUACUCCACUC
rnacentral:tmRNA from 1 species